UACAGAGGGGGCGAGCGUUGUUCGGAAUUACUGGGCGUAAAGGGCGCGUAGGCGGCCCGCUAAGUCGAACGUGAAAUCCCCAGGCUCAACCUGGGAACUGCGUCCGAUACUGGCAGGCUUGAAUCCGGGAGAGGGAUGUGGAAUUCCAGGUGUAGCGGUGAAAUGCUUAGAUAUGACAUAGAACACCGAUAGCGAAGGCAGCUUGCUACACGAGUAUUGACACUGAGGCACGAAAGCGUGGGGAUCAAACAGG
rnacentral:rRNA from 1 species